rnacentral:lncRNA from 1 species
UUUUUUUGUUUAAAACUCAUUAUAAGUCGAGAAGUGAAAAACAAUGUUAUCAUCCUAUUCAAAGGGUUGAAAGAGUCUUGUUUGGAGUUGUGUGAGGUUCAAUAAGUAUGUUUGCAAUAUUUCAGAAGUUGAUAGAAAAAGAAAAGAAAAAUGAAAAAAUAAAAUAGAGAAGAAAAAAAAAAGAAAAAAGAAAUAGAAGGAUGUAUACAUGUCAAUACAUAUUCCUUAUGAAAAAGAAAAGAAAAAAAAGGGAAAAAAAAAGAAAGGAGAAAAAAAAAUAUGAAUGAAAACAGUUACUAUAGAAUUGUUGAAGUGAAUGAAAUAUUUUGUAAAUUCAACUCGCAUAGUUUCUUUCAAGUCUCUUUUGUCUCUUUGAAUUUUAGCCUAGUACCCCCUUAAGAUUUGUCUCACCCUUACUUUGGC